rnacentral:lncRNA from 1 species
GUCUUCAAAUGUAAGGCAGAGUUAGGACUUAGUAAGCCUCUUGAUGUCCUUUUUCUCAAGUUUUUCCCUUUAUAAGAAUUAGCUUAGCAGGUUCGAAGAAAUGAAAAGUUGCACUCUGUCAAAACUAAGUAGCAGUAUUAUGUAAGCCAACUUAAAGGAAUUUAGAAUAGCACUGUUACUAUUUUACUUAUAUCACAUACCUAGAGUACCGCCGAUUAUAUUUCAUAUUCUAAGGAUAGAAUUGCCUCUGGCAUCACAAAUUGAAAAAUACAGUCCACUACUCCAUGCAACUGAUAGUCUUAUAGUCAUUGAACAAUAAUCGUGAAGAUUCAGUUUUUGUGAUUAUUGUGAGAUCAUUAUAUGAGUCGGUUUUAUGCUAGAAAGGAUGAAACCUCAAAAGGGGAGUUACACACCUUGCUCAAGCUAUGC